ACAAGUUGACAAGAGCAUCGGGUGGAUGCCUUGGCGUCGGAAGGCGAUGAAAGACGUGGUAAGCUGCGAAAAGCCUCGGGGAGAAGCUAAACAUUCUAUGAUCCGGGGAUUUCUGAAUGGGGAAACCCGGCGGAGGUCAUGCUCCGUCGCGGGCACUUGAAUACAUAAAGUGUCCAGCGCCAACUCAGGGAAGUGAAACAUCUCAGUACCUGAAGGAAAAGAAAUCAAACGAGACUCCCAAAGUAGCGGCGAGCGAAAUGGGAUGAGCCCAAACCGGCUGGAUUCGUUCAGCCGGGGUUGUAGGGCCGGCAUAUGUGAUUCAUGAGUAGGCAGGGGAAAUGAGCUGGAAAGCUCUGCCAGAGCGGGUGACAGCCCCGUACCUGAAACCGAAAGCGACACAGCCGGUACCUGAGUACCGCGAGACACGUGGAACCUCGUGGGAAUCCGGGAGGACCAUCUUCCAAGGCUAAGUACUAACCGACGACCGAUAGUGUACCAGUACCGUGAGGGAAAGGUGAAAAGAACCUCUGUUAGAGGAGUGAAAUAGAAUCUGAAACCUGGUGCUUACAAGCUGUGAGAGCGGACUUGUUCCGUGAUCACGUGCCUUUUGCAUAAUGAGUCAGCGAGUUAAUCUGUACUGCGAGGUUAAGCGCAAGUGGAGCCGUAGGGAAACCGAGUCUGACAAGGGCGAUGAGUAGUGCGGAUUAGACCCGAAACCGGGUGAUCUAUCCAUGAGCAGGUUGAAGCAAGGGUAAAACCUUGUGGAGGACCGAACCAAUACCGGCUGAAAACGGUUUGGAUGACUUGUGGAUAGGGGUGAAAGGCCAAUCAAACCCGGUGAUAGCUGGUUCUCCCCGAAAUAUAUUGAGGUAUAGCCUCAUGGAUUGUCUACCGGAGGUAAAGCACUGACAGGGCUAGGGGUCCUACCAGAUUACCAAACCCUAUCAAACUCAGAAUGCCGGUCAGAUGUACCAUGGGAGUCAGACGGCGGGUGCUAAGGUCCGUCGUCGAGAGGGUAAGAGCCCAGAUCAACAGCUAAGGUCUCCAAAUCUAUGCUCAGUGGUUAAGGUGGUGACGUUGUAGAGACACCCAGGACGUUGGCUUAGAAGCAGCCAUCGUUUAAAGAAAGCGUAAUAGCUCACUGGUCUAAUGACGUUGCGCCGAAAAUGUAACGGGGCUAAGCAUAGUACCGAAGCUUUGAAUUCCGCGAAUGCGGUCUGGUAGGGGAGCGUUCUUCACGGGCUGAAGGUGUGUCGUAAGGCAUGCUGGACUGUGGAGAAGUGAUUAUGCUGACAUGAGUAACGAUAAAACGGGUGAAAAACCCGUUCGCCGUAAACCCAAGGUUUUCCGGGUAAAGGUAAUCUUCCCGGAGUUAGUCGGCCCCUAAGGCGAGGCUGAAAGGCGUAGCUGAUGGGAAACGUGUUAAUAUUCACGUACUUGUGUGUUCGCGCGAUGAAGGGACGCAGGAAGAUAGGCAAGCCGGGCGCUGGUUGUCCCGGUGCAAGCGUGUAGGGAUGAGAAGUUGGCAAAUCCGCUUCUCUCUAUCCUGAGACGCGAGUCCGUGACCGAAAGGUCUGAAGUUGUUGAGUCUAUGCUGCCUAGAAAAGCUUCUAAGUAUAGGACACGCAAACCGUACCGGAAACCAACUCAGGUGGGUGGGAUGAAUAAUCCAAGGCGCUCGAGAGAACUCUGGCCAAGGAACUCGGCAAAAUAACCCCGUACCUUCGGAAGAAGGGGUGCUUUUUAGGGUGAAGCGAUUCACUCUGUCGAGCCCUGAAAAGCCGCAGAGAAAUGGUGGUGGCGACUGUUUACUAAAAACAUAGGUCUGUGCCAAGUCGUAUAGACGACGUAUACGGACUGACGCCUGCCCGGUGCUGGAAGGUUAAAAGGAGGAGUCAGCGCAAGCGAAGCUCCGAAUUGAAGCCCCAGUAAACGGCGGCCGUAACUAUAACGGUCCUAAGGUAGCGAAAUUCCUUGUCGGGUA
rnacentral:rRNA from 1 species